CCUACUGCAAAUAAUUAAUUGUUCUUAUCCGCACUGCACUGCGCUAUUUUGUGGGGGAAAUCAAAGCACCAGGAGUCAGAAAUUGUUUUCCCCUCCCCCAGACAGUUUCUCUCUCUAUUUAUUAAGUAUUAAUUGCUAUUCGAAAUGCUUUUGGAAGCGUUAUAGCUAAAGUCUUUACCAUGACUGGAGAUGACACCUGUGACCGGUCCCUUGAUGAGAACUGCAGGACUCUGAACCUGCAAGUGUUUGUUUGUAGCGUAUGUGGAGAGGACCACGAAAGUAUUGAUUGUUCUGUAGUUCAAAAUCUUAAACGGAUCCAUGAUUCCAAGAUUUUGUCUCGUGCGAGGCAGACUCUACCCAAGGACUUUGCCGUAAAAUCUCUGGCUGAUGGAAGUACAACUGUUAUUACCAAUGUGCGCAUUGACCAAGGUACUCAGUUUGGCCCCUUUCAGGCUCCUUUGUCAAUUGAUUUGCCACCUGCUGUAUUGUUUCCUCUCAAAGUCUUUGGCAAGACACUAGAUGAUGGCUAUUAUUUGGAUACUUCUGAUGAAGAGUGUUGCAAUUGGAUGUGUCUUGUAGCCCCAGCCUCUAAUACCAGCGAACAAAAUCUUAUAUGUUAUGACGUCAAACAAAGCAUUUAUUUUGCUACAACAAGAGAUCUAGAACCAGGAGAGGAACUACGUUUGUGGUAUGCAUUGUACUAUGGACUGAAGCUUCAAGCCCUACCUUUGUCUGAUGAAUCAGCCCAAGAGGAUGGUUUUUAUGACCUGAUAGAUGAGGAGAAGCAGGGGAAAUCAAAUGGUGGUGUGUGUAUGAUGCUAGGGGAUGAUCUUCUCCAAACAUUAACUGAACACUUACCAGCUCAUGCCCUUGGAGCUUUUGGAGAAAGGGAUGUAUGGAUAUGCAAGUUGUGUGGGGUACAAGAAUCAAACGUGGCAAGCUAUGCUCGCCACCUUAUGGUUCAUUAUCGCCAACCAUUGCAUAAUAAUCGACAUCCACAAUGCACUAUCUGCUUUCGGCGUUUCUUCAGUAAAAAGAUAUUGGACAACCAUUUACUGAAACAUGAAAAAUGCAAUAUGUCGGACAUCGAAACUUCAGAAACAGCCCUUAAUAACAGCAUUGAAUAUAAGCAGUUCCCUGAAAAUAUUAAUGGGGCAGAAAUACCCUCAUGUGAAGAAACAACAGAUGGAGGCACAGUUUAUAACAACGGAGUUUUAAAUGAUGACAGUAAAAAUGCACACAUUAAUAGAUCAAAAAGUUAUUUUUGUCAUGAGAAAGAAUCAUUAUUAAAUUUAAAUAAUGGUGGCAAAGGUGAAAAUGCUGAAAAUGAAUCUGAAGAGGAACAAUCUGAGGUGUCUCAUUCAUCACCUGAUAGCUUUAUUAAACCGAAAGGACUUGAUAUGACUCUUAACCCAAAAUUACAUGAAGAAAAUGUUGGAAAUCUUAUUUCAUCAACACAAAUUAGUAACACAGAAGACUUGGUGAUUCAUUCAAGCAAUGGACAAAGCUUUGCCACAUCCAUCAAUUUACGCUCAUCUCAAGACAUUGAUCUUGCUUUAGAAAAUGGAGAACCUUUAACGUUUGUGAUGGUUGAAGCAACUGAUAAAAACGACCUACCAUCUGUUCCUUUUGUAGAUAACUGUGUCAAAUUGAAAGACACUUCAUCUGUGAACAACUUAUCAUCUAACACUGAGGAAUUAUCAAAUGCAGAUGUUUCUAAUGAACAGUUACAUCAAGAGCCAUCUGAAAAACAAAGAACUUUGUUUAACUGUGAUAUAUGCGAAAAGUCUUUUAGCAAAGGUGCCUAUCUUUAUCGACAUCUCCGCAAGCAUACUGGUGAGUUUACUUGUGUGACCUGCUUAGCUGUGUUUGCUCGUAAAGAAAAUUUGAAAACUCACUCCUGUACCCAGCCUAGAGAAUGGUUUCCGUGUCCUACAUGUGGAAGAAAAUUUUCAGCCAAAAAAUAUCUUCAGAGACAUGUUCCUAUACACACAGGAGAGUUCACUUGUUCAGAGUGUAACCGCCAUUUUGUGUCCAGACUUUCCCUAAAAUACCACAGAUGCAAUGUUAGUAGAAAUAAAUCUGGAAAUGUUACCAUUAACUGUAUAAUGUGUGACAGAAUAUUUAGUACAGAAUCAAAGCUAAGAGCACAUCUAAAGGUUCAUUCUGAUCUAAAAUCAACAGUUUUUAAUAAACCCAUGUUUUUAAAAUCAUCUCAUAAUGUUGAAAGGCUACUUAAAAGAAAAGAUGUAAAGGAUAACAGUGAAAAGCAACCAAACAAUAUAUCUGGAGGAAAGGUAUUUAUUUGUGAAAUUUGUGGGGCCAUAUUUAAAAGUUCAUCAAGUAUGAAGACACACAGGUUUUGUCAUGGAGAGAGGAAGUUUGAAUGUAGCAUAUGUGGAAAAAGGUUUCAUCGGAAGGAUGUACUACAAGAGCAUUCAAGAGUUCAUGAGGAAGCAAACUUUCCCUGUGAGCUAUGUGGCAAGAAGUACAAAACUAAGAAAUCUCUCUAUGUCCAUUCGCUUAUUCAUGAAGGGUCCAAGAGGUUUUCUUGCGGUGUUUGUGCAAAGGAAUUUUUCCAAAAAGGGAACCUAAUUAAACACGCACAAACUCAUACUUCUUCAAGAAUAUACUGCUGUCAGUAUUGUAAAAAAUCAUUUUCUUCAAAGGAAUAUUUUAAUAUUCAUCAACUGACUCAUACUCAAGGGAAUAUCUACAACUGUGAUGAGUGUAAAAGAGGCUUUGUUAAGAAACAUUUACUGGACACUCAUCGACAGUCAUUUCAUUCAAAUCGUGGAUUUCUCUGCAAAUUCUGUAAUACUCUUGUACGGCACAGGCAUUCCAUGCGUCGUCACUUAGAAAAGAGUCAUAAUGUGCUCCGUGACAAAUGGUCAAUGCCUGGCUUCAUUGAUAUUUUGCAGACUGAACUUCCACCGAACUUGUUAUCUUCUUUUGGAGAUGCAAAAUUAACUCCUAAAGAGCAACAGGAAAGACAGCACCAAAUAGAACUUUUGAGGAAAAAACAUUUCCAAAACAAAGUGGCGUCAAGUUUAGGUCCAACAUCCGAGUUUGCAUAUGCUUUGGUACCAGAAUCACAACCAAAUCAGUUUACCUUGAGUGAUCCCAUAAUAAUGCUUCAACCAUCACAGCAGUUAGCACUUGUCAACAAUAUCCAACCUGGCAAUCAGGAUGAAACAUUUCAAGCUACUAGACAGCUGCAAAUGGAUUCAGAAGAUGCUCCAGGUGAAGUAGUUUUCACUUUGGUGAAUCAAGAAAGUUCUCCGAAUAGCCCAAGCAAUACAACCCCACUUCUAAACUCAUCUUCCCUUGCAAGUACUAUUACUGACUUUGAUUCAGGAACCACGUACCUGAUGGAAAAUGGACAUGGUAAUGAGAGCAUACUUCUGUAUGUAGUAGAGACUUCAAAUGGAGAAGAUGACAAUUCAGAGGAUUUUUACAUGGUGCAGUAGCAGGGUUUGGAGAGGAAGAGUCUGAGGUGAAGCUGAAAGCUGUGAAAGGGAACUUCUCCUUGGCCUCCUUGUAAUAUUUUUAUGGUUUCUGGCGGAACCAAAAGUAGUUUUGUGGUCCCCUGGUUCACCCUUGUCGAUUCGACUACUUUUCCGUCGAAAUCCGGACCCAUCAAUUUUCGCUAAAAACACAAAGGCUAUAGCCUUUGUAUAUUUUGCCAAAAAUGAAAUCAUUAAAAAUCGCUGGAAAUGAUUGGAAUUGGCCUAGGAGAGUCGCCUUUGACCUUCUCUGUCGAAAUUGCGUGCUUCCUGGCUCUUUUACAUCCUGUUUCUUCGACUAAAACUGCCUUUUUGGUUUGUUGCAGGAACGUCAGCCUGGAGGUGUUCCUUCCGUCCUGGACAUCGGCCGUGCAGCCCAUGGAAUCCUCAGAUUUAAGUUGAGUUGGUGUCACAGUGAUAACCGUUGGGCCAGUUCUUUUUUUUACCCCCCCGUAAAUUCACCACCCACAUUGUGGAAGGGUCUAGCGGAGCCGUUCCGCUCAACGCUGUGGAGUCAGCGGACCCCUUGCAUGGGGACAAUACGUGCAACGCGUGACCUCACUGCGUCAAUGAGGGGGCUGGACGUGUCGCCCAAAGCCGUCCAAAAAACCUCCCCUCCCCCUGCCCUCCUCCCGGCUGCGGCUGCUGUGGAGGUAGUAGCGG